rnacentral:lncRNA from 1 species
UUAACCCAAUUUCAUCCUCAAACAUAUCUUCUCUCUCUUUUCUCUCUACCCACUCGAGUCUUCACUCUCUAUAUUUCAACACCGCUUCUCCCGGCGGAGUGCUUCAACUAUACCCUUUCUACGAGGCACCCAACCCGUCGUUGCGCGUGAUGUAAAGAACAUACUGUGAACGCAGAUGAUUUGCACUGGGUACGUCGAUUUUAACCGACGACCUGAACUGCUGGGAGAGGCAUAACUACUGUAGGAUUGCCUUCGACAGUAGAAAGGACCAGGUUGUUUGGGGAAGGUAUAACUACUAUUGAUCCAGAAACUGAUGGAGCAACAAAAAGUGAGGAGUUUACAGCAGGAAAGACGCCAUUUCUUUCUCGCACUGGCUUUAGAACUUGAAGCUUACACACGUUGUGGUGGAGUUGGAGGUGACGGUAGUGGUGGUUGUUGUAGUGAUAGUGGUGCAGAUGGUGGUUAUGGUGCUAAGUUUGGGUUAGGUUGGAAUUAUAUAGACACUGUUGUGAUCAAUAAAAUUUAUUUGGGUUAAUUGACCAAUACAUAAUAUGUGACGAACAAAAUAGAUAAUUUGUGAUAUUGAUGCAAUAAUCUGUGAUCUGUGUG